UUAAGUUCAGCGGGUAGUCCUACCUGAUUUGAGGUCAAAUUGUCAUAUAUUGUCUGAAUGAACAGACGAUUAUAAGCAGUGCUAUAAACGGCAAAUAGCCCACGGCGUAGAUAAUUAUCACACCAAUAGACAUGUUCGCACAAGGCAACCAGCUAAUGCAUUUCAGGGGAGUUUAUUUCAAUGAAGAAACCAACAUGCCC
rnacentral:misc_RNA from 1 species